UCUCUCUCUCUCUCUUUCUCUCUCUCUCUCUCUCUCUCUCUCUUACUUUAAUACUCUCUGUGUAUUGUGGGAAGAGAGAACAGCGCCAGUCGCGAUACGCGCAUACGUGUAAGCGCACGUUCGAGACUGCUCGUCGUUCGUUCGUUGUUUCGUUCGUUAGUUAGUUAAUUAAUUUAUUUGUUUAAUAAUUAAUACAUUAACACUCGCAUUAAUCUUCGUAUUCGUAGAAAGGAAAAAUUGGUAUCUUUCAAUUUUACACGAAUAGUGUUGUAUGAUGAUGAGAUUCGCGCGUUGUGUUAACACUUUGAUUAGACGUGAAUAAUCGUUUUAAUACAACAAUUUUGUUCUUAUCCCAAUGUUAUAUAAUUAGUUUUUUGUUGUUGUUGUUAUUAUUACAUUGACAAUUUGUUCUUUCUAGAUUUAAAAUAUUCAUCCAAUUAAUUUAUGUUGUGUACCACCUGUGUAGAAAAUAAAUACGAUAAGUAGGUUACUCGUUUAUUAAAAGUUCCCAUCUGUUUGGAUAAACGAAAAUUUAUUCGUUUAUCGUUCGUGUCAAAGUGUUCAAGGUGGUUUUUUUUUUUGGUGAAUAUCAAGUGAAUACAAUAAUGAGCUAAUUAUUCUUUUUAAUGUUAUAGAUCGAGAAAUUUGGCAAAAAUGAUUAAAAAGAAACGAUUUAACGAGGACAACGGCAAUGGGGAUUUUUAUUAACGAACUGAGAUAUAUAUAAAAGAAGAAUAAAAAUAUAAAAAGAAAAAAAAAAAAAAAAA